GGCGAACAGAAGCUCCUCUGUGACAGAAUUUGGCAUACAUAAGGAGAAUAAAGGUUAGAAAAAACAUGACACACAGAACUCCUAUAACAAUGGCCAGGCUGGGUUGAAAAUUUGAGACACCAUCUUGUGAAGAUCCUUCAUCUCCAACAGAGUUAAAUUGUGCUUCAACAGGGAAGAAUACAAAAAGGAGAUUCAGAAAUAGCAAACUUAAUAGAUUCAUCAGAAAAAUCAAGGCCUUGAAACUUGCCAGGAUUUCAAUAUUCUGCAGAAAGCAUUCUGCCAGAAAGAAAGAAAAUAUGUAUCUUGUGUUUGCAAAACUCUAUCAAGGUCAAAAUGGGGGGUGGUUUGAGAUAGGAUUUGUUAUGCAUAUGACCCUUUUUAAUAUGUC
rnacentral:misc_RNA from 1 species